ensembl:lncRNA cell cycle regulator of non-homologous end joining-like
CCGGUGUGGGUGUUUGCUGUAGUUUAGGCUUUUUAGAGUGUUUUAAAGUUAAAAUGUCAGAUAAGCACCGACUUUUGCCUUCAUGGAUGACCCAAAAAGAGAAAAUGAAGGUGAAGAAGAAGGUGAAUAAAGAACCGCUGAAGAAGAAAGAGAAACGCAAAACAUCACGAUCUGUGUUCUACUGCAUGAAUGAGAAGGAGUUGGUAGAAGCUGCUCUGCUGUUCAUCUCAGAGUCAGAGGAUGUCAUGGCCGUUAAUCCCCACAAGGAGGAGGAAACGUCCACGUCACACGUGUUAACAAAGCCAGCGAUGAAGACAUUUAUAGACUCGUCCUCUUCAGAAACAGACCUGGACAUUUCUGAAGUGCAAACACUCCCAGUGCAUGCUGGGGUUCCAGUUAAUGAUGGGGUUCCAGUGCAUGCUGGGGUGGAAGCCCAGAGACGUGAACCUGAUCAGCAUCACAGUGGAUUCAUGGACCACGAGGAGGAGGAGGAAGAUGAUUUACAGCUCGUGCGGGACAUUUUUUUCAGCUGAUGAUCACUUUAGAAUGCACUGAAAUAUUUAUUUUAUUCACAAUAUAAGUUUUUAAAGUCGCCGUGCAUUUUCUGUAAAGAUAUGUGAAUUUUCUAAGUUUUAGAUUUCAAAUUAAAAGUGUAGAUUUGAGGUUGAAUCUUGUGAUAUUUUUGACUUUGCUGUGUGUGAUUAGUGUUAUAAACAGGUGGUGCAGUGAAAAUAGGCAGCGUUUCAUGUUGUUUUGCUUUAAAAAACGAGAAAGAAAAGGAUUGAGACUAUAUUUUAUUUAUUUUUGCACAACCUGAAUCUACAAUUUACAAUUCAAGGAUCACAUGAACAACAUUCGUGUCAUUAGAAUAUUGACCAAUCAGAUUCAGAGCAUUGUCACAGGAAACAAAAAACAUAUGGUUUAGUCUGAAUUUCUUAUGUAUAUAUUUUUUUGUUGCUUUGUGUAUUUUUGUGUACAUUUGUUGUCAUAGUAUGUGAUGUAUGUUUUUUUUGUGUGUGUGUGUGUGUUAUAAAUCAUUCUGGGUACUUUUGUUGUCAUUUUGUAUAUUUUUCCAUUAUUUUUGUCCACACGUAGUCAUUUCUGGAGUGAUUUAAUGUGUUUUUGUUCAUUAGUGUGUUAUGAGUAAUGUUUUUGUUUUGUAUGUUUUUAUGUAAAUUCAUGGUUGAAAUUGUGUGUGCUUUUGAAGUGAUUUGGAGUAAUUUUUUAAUGUGUGUUUUUCUGGCA